rnacentral:lncRNA from 1 species
UCAUCUCUCUGCCCUUUACAGAAACUUCACAUUUCCCUCUUUACUCUCACGUUCUCUCUUUACAAUUCUCUCUUCACCACAUUUUCUACUCUCGCUCUCUCUCUCCACCGACGACCAAGCAUCGUCUUCACCGAAGAGCUUUCUUCACCGCCUCCUUCCAACCAGGCACCAUCUUCCACCGAGUCUAUGUCUUCACUGUGUUGCUCAUUUUUCCCCUGGUGCUCUCUCUGCCUUCAAGAUUUACCCUCAAACAGGCUCCCUCAAACCAAGCG